GACGAACGCUGGCGGCGCGCCUAACACAUGCAAGUCGAACGGAGCCACGAGGAGCUUGCUUUUCUUGACUUAGUGGCGAACGGGUGAGUAACGCGUGAGUAACCUGCCCUGGAGUGGGGGACAACAGUUGGAAACGACUGCUAAUACCGCAUAAGCCCACGGAUCCGCAUGGAUCUGCGGGAAAAGGAUUUAUUCGCUUCAGGAUGGACUCGCGUCCAAUUAGCUAGUUGGUGAGGUAACGGCCCACCAAGGCGACGAUUGGUAGCCGGACUGAGAGAUUCAACGGCCACGAUGGGACUGAGACACAGCCCAGCCUACUGCGAGAGGCAGCAGUGGGGGAUAUUGCACAGUGGGGGAAGCCCAGAUGCGGCGGCGCCGCGUGGAGGAGGAAGGUUUUCGGAUUGUAAACUCCUGUCGUUAGGGACGAUAAUGACGGUACCUAACAAGAAAGCACCGGCUAACUACGUG
rnacentral:rRNA from 1 species